rnacentral:lncRNA from 1 species
GCCGGCCGGAGGCAUAGACCGAGCGACGCGCCAGUGGAAGGAGCGUGCCGGCUCCGUCGAGGACCACCUGCGCACGGUCCGUCCGAGCGAGCCGACGGGCCGGCGCGGAAGGCCCAGUGCCGAGCCCGCAAAACCGACAAAGGAACCCACAGGGACGCACUAGAGCGGCCAAAGAUUUCACCGAACGGGACGGGACCGAGCCCACGCAACAUGCGAGGGCGACGGAUCGGACCAAGUAAGGCCGAUCCAACUCCGUGCGCGCGCGGCCGCGAAAACUUCGUGAGAGACGGGACGACCGACCGACCGAUCCGAAGCGCCGCGCACGGCCGCCACAAGGGCCGGCCGGAGGCGUAGACCGAGCGCCGCGCCAGCGGAAGGAGCGUGCCG